GAAGCAGAAGGUACCGACCAGAGUGGUGAGGAUAGUGGCCGAAAAAACUAGGGAGGCGUAACAGUUGCCGUAGCUGGGUCGGGUGGGGAGAGAAGCGAGGGCGGUUCACCUGCCGACCAAGGAGAAGGGGAAGAUCAGUUAGAGGGGAGGACUAUAGGUACGAGGGCCCUAGGCUUGGGUGGGGUGACCGAAUCAAACGUAGAGAUAUAACAUGCAGAAGGAGGAUGGUCAGCCGAUGAGCACCCGAGCACCAACAGCAGAAAUUAGAUCAGUUGAGGGCGGAGUAUGAUAUAUCGAGCAUUGUUAAACUUAGGGUGUCGAUCGGAGAUGAGAAGUUGAGCACACCCCCUUAGGAUGGGUGACCUUGUGUGCAGACAUGAUGAAGCAGGAGGUUCGGUUGCCCUUAUCCCCCUUUCUACAAAGCUGGAUUAGUAGGCUUGGUGUAGCCCCACAUCAGAUGAACCCAAACAUGUAAAAGACCAUGGUAGGUGUUUAGGCAUUGUGGCGGCGGGUG
rnacentral:lncRNA from 1 species